rnacentral:rRNA from 1 species
UACGUAGGGGGCAAGCGUUGUCCGGAAUCAUUGGGCGUAAAGCGCGUGUAGGCGGCUCGGUAAGUCCGCUCUGAAAGUCCGGGGCUCAACCCCGGAGGCGGGUGGAUACUGUCGAGCUAGAGUUCGGAAGAGGCAAGUGGAAUUCCUGGUGUAGGCGGUGGAAUGCGCAGAUAUCAGGAGGAACACCUAUAGCGAAGGCAGCUUGCUGGGACGACACGUGACGCUGAGGCGCGAAAGCGUGGGGAGCGAACAGG